AUUCUCCUAUCCAGCAGCCUAGAUGCUGAUGCCACCCAUCCAUACCAGAUGAGGUUAUAUUAUUCUUCCUCAAACAUAUUCAUUAUCAUCUCAUGCUGUCCUCAUCCCUGAGGGUAAUGAUGACCCUUUGUAACACCAUUCAUCACUGCCUGUGAUUGUUUGCAGCUGAGGCUAUUGGCCUGGGAGUCCUUUCCCACCCAGCUUCUCUAUUCUUAGUCAAAUCAUGUCUGCUCUGUUGUCUUUUUGAUCUCUUUCUUCAAAACAUUUUCUUCUUUUCCAGUACAGUCCUGUGGCUGUAGAAGCAAAGCAAAUGCAAAGUAUAUGUUAGCAUCAAACAUAGCCAUGUAGAGAUCUUGGUGGCUUAAUCAGAGGGAGUCUCACUCUGUCACCCAGGCUGAAGUGCAGUGGUUUGAUCUCAGCUUGCUGCAAACUCCACCUCCCAGGAUCAAGCAAUUCUCUUGUCUCAGCCUCCUGAGUAGCUGGGACUACAGGGAAAGUGAUCAACCAGCAGCAGGUUCCAGCCACAGUUAACCGCACCUGCUAAGAGCU
rnacentral:lncRNA from 1 species